UUCAAGCUAACGUAGCUCGUAACGACAGCUAACACCUAACUAGCAUUACCGGAACAACGUUACAUUUACCGUAUCGUUAGAGCCAACAACGCGAUGUAUGGAUGCUGUCUCUAUUAGCUAACGACUCGUUUCAUUAAAAGGUGAAGAUGUUGGAUAGUGGUCGGGUUCGGAGGGGGCUGCUGGGGAGCUCCUCUCCUCUCCCCACUUCCCCCGGGUCCCUGAAGGAGGCGCUGUGAAUGAUCUGGGCUCGGUGGCGUCCUCUGUGCAGCCGGGCGUUCAGCCGGCUCAGGGACGACUUCCUCUGGAUUCCCCCCUUGGUCCUUCCAGUCGCGAACGCUUCCUCUGCUGCCUCGGCAGGCGGGUUCAGGAGCCUCAGCGGGUUCAGAUUGCCCGUGAGGACUCUGGGAAACCGCCAUCCGCGCCCUCCACCACUGCUGCUGUUAGUGUUUUCGCUGUCUGACUCAGCUCCCGGUGAGAGGACCACCCCCUCCUCCUGCAGGUCAGCGGCCAGUGGUGGGGACAGGUACUGGAUGGCUCGCCUACCGCUGUAAUCCCGCGCCUCAGGGUCUGCCUCCCAGUCUGACAGCAACACCCGAACCACCUGUCAAUCACAGCACAUUGAAAACACACUGUACAGGAAAUCUGGUUACCUGUCAUUUAGGCAGAAUUUACUGGUGACUUAUUGGAUCAGGAUUUCUCUUAUUGUCUAUUAAAACUCCAUUUACAUUUCUAGAAAA